UGAUGAUAUAGUACAUAGGACGGAGAAUAUUCCAUUUCCGAGUGGGAUAUUAACAUUUCUAGUUUACACACUCAACCGCCUUCUUCCUCAGUCAUCACUAACCCUUCUCUCUCUCUCUCAUGGGAAAUUCAUCAGGUCCAAUAUAUUCUUCAAGAUAUUCCUGCACGGCAGAAAAUACAAAUUGUUAGCAUCAUAGCAGGAAGAAUAACAUCUCUGCUUUUCAAAUCAGAGAAGUGAGUCCAUGAAGUGAUUUUAGUGUUAGAGACAAAGAACCAAAAGGAUAUGAAGCACUUCAAUACUAAAGAAUUUAGGGCUAAAAGACUAAUGCCAAAUCUUCCCUCUGCCACCUCAUCAAUCAUGCCUUAAAAACACAUACUUCUUCCAACCAACAAAAUACAAGCAUUCGAGACGGAAGACGAGAAGCCGGCCAAGCAGUUGCUUUUAAAAAGGCAAGCUGAUGAAGAAUACUAACAGUGUCAAGACUUCAGUUGAGGAGAGCUGUUCACAAGUAGUGGUUAUGAGCUCUUUCUUAUUCCGGUUCAGAAGAGUGAGUGUCUAGGUCAACGGCUGCUCUUUGCUCUGGAGUUUUCGCCCUCAAGAAUCGAAUUGCAAUGGAAAAAGUUCGACGAUCAAGCUGCAAAAAGGAAAAAGAAAUUGAGACAUGAAGUAGGAAGCACCAGGUCUGCAAGCUGAAGAGAAUUUCUUUCAAAACAAGGCCUGCUGCUAAUUUGUAAAACAUUAUAAUUCCUUUAUAUUCGUAUAUUGUCGUCAUAUAUCAAUUUUUAAAUCGUAUCCACCAUGUAUGUGCACUUGAGAUGACUUUCUUUAAUGUAAUACCUUCAGAAUCUAGUUUCUACUUUCUAGGAAACUGAUUGUAUUUUAUCUGGAAUGACAAUGCAGAAAGCAAUAAGCAGCAGCUAAAGACAAGUAGAUCAGGUUCAAUCUUGUGCCUUCAGUUACUAUACUCUUGUUACCUUUUCUUGUUCAUGACAUUUGCAUAUAGCUAUGUUAAAAAUAAACCAACUUCAGAUAUUCAGAUAAGAAAAAUACCAGUUCCAGAUUAUUCUAUAGAAUUGCUCAAUCAGUAACUAAUGACUUAAAAGCUAUGUUCCUUACAUCAUAUCAUGGUUAAUAAAUACAUAGGCUACGAUCCCUUGGUAGGAGUUAGAUUGACAAAAUAUGUUAUCACUUAUUCCAAACAUACCAGGGAGAUUACUUAAAAGACAAUUAUGUUAUUUCCUUAGGCGAUAAUUAGCCAGGGAAAGGCAAUCCUGAUAUUACCUUAGGCAACUACUAUAUUUCCUUAACAAGAAGCUCUAUAAGAUAGGUUAGGAGGAUUGAGGAAUUAGGAGGUAUGCUUAAUUUGAUAGAAGUUUACUGAAUAUUUGGUUAUGCAUCUAGGAGAGAAGCUUAACUCUCAAAAGCAAGUUAUUUUGAUAUUCAAUGGGUAAAAUGCAUCAAAAUGCAACAAAGUUUGGUUUAGUUCAUAUUUAGUGUAAUGAAUGAUUUUUUGCAAUUGAUGUAACAAAGUUUCAAUAUUUCCUAUUUUAUACCUAAAUUGACCAGUAAGCUACUUAUCUUGUAACAUUUGAUAACAUAUGAAAUGUUUAUGAAAGAGUUGCAUCGAAGUGGAAGAUAAAUAUAACAUUCACGUCAUCAGAUGUUAUAUUACAUAAGAAAUUUUCAAAACUUUAUUACAUUGAUUGAGAAAUUUUGAAGCUUUAUUGCAAUAAAUAGGAAUUGUUUGAGAAAAAAAAGUCUUUGUUACACUGAAUAGGAAUUGACGCACUUAGUUGUAUUUUGAUGCAUUUUGACCUUCUUCAAUCGUUGUUUAUGAUCAAUAAAGCAUUUGGGUUCUACCAAAAGCUCAUUAAACAGGAAUCCAAGUAGUGCCAACCAAAGAUA